rnacentral:lncRNA from 1 species
AUCAGUUUAUAACCUACAGAAUAAUGAACCACAUUAUACUGAAUACAUUUUAAAUGGGCGUGUAAAACAUUUUAGGUUGAAUUUAGGUUUUGAUAGUUUGUGGAGACUUGUUGAUUGGUGUGGCAUUUGAGUGUUUCUCUUUGAAAAUUUGAUGUUGCCCGUUCCCAGGUAAACCAGUUUUUCCAGUUAUGUUUUUUAGAUAAACACACAUUAUCUAGCUUGUAACUGGUUUUAAAGUUCAAAUAUAUUUACAUAUACACUAAUAGAACCGCUGUUUGUGUGCUAUAAUGUAUGAUAUUGUGGCCUCUAGUGCUGUUGUAUGUAUGAAGUAUAUUUGUCUCAUUUACAAAGUAUAUGUAUUGGCAGGCUUAAUAGAUUUCUAAACCAAAGAAGAGUGACACUGCUUCUAAAAUGAGUCUCAGUGAGAAGACAGAGGAGGGAUGUUCCCAGUGCUGGAGAUCUUCAGAUCCCAGCUGUGUGUCUGUGAAGAGUGACAGAUCCAUGGAUCGGCCUGAUUAUCUCAAUGAUGAAGCAGUGACUUUUGAUCCCAUUGUGGGAACAGAUGAUCAGAGUGCAGACCACCUAAAUGAUUCUUCUCAAACAAUAAAUGAUGUUUUGAAGAGAGUCAAAGACCAACACAAAAUGAGCAUGAAGAACAAGUAUGAGAGAUUAUUUGAGGGACUGAAACUCCAGGAGAAUGAAACCCUCCUGAACAGCAUCUACACACAAGCUCUACAUCAUAAGAAGGAGAGAGAGAAGGAGUGAAUG